rnacentral:rRNA from 1 species
AAAGGAAGUUAGACGGGGCCCGGCACAAGCGGUGGAGUAUGUGGUUUAAUUCGAUGCAACGCGAAGAACCUUACCUGGUCUUGACAUCCCGGAGACCCUUAGGAAACUAGGGGUGCUUCCAUCUGGAAGAAUCUGGAGACAGGUGCUGCAUGGCUGUCGUCAGCUCGUGUCGUGAGAUGUUGGGUUAAGUCCCGCAACGAGCGCAACCCUUGCCUUUAGUUGCCAGCAGUUCGGCUGGGCACUCUAAAGGGACUGCCGGUGUUAAACCGGAGGAAGGUGGGGAUGACGUCAAGUCCUCAUGGCCUUUAUGACCAGGGCUACACACGUACUACAAUGGCCGAUACAAAGGGCAGCGACACUGCGAGGUGAAGCCAAUCCCGUAAAAUCGGUCUCAGUCCGGAUUGGAGUCUGCAACUCGACUCCAUGAAGUUGGAAUCGCUAGUAAUCGUGGAUCAGCAUGCCACGGUGAAUACGUUCCCGGGCCUU